AUUGAACGCUGACGGCAUGCCUUACACAUGCAAGUCGAACGGCAGCGCGGGAGCAAUCCUGGCGGCGAGUGGCGAACGGGUGAGUAAUAUAUCGGAACGUGCCCAUUAGUGGGGGAUAGCCCGGCGAAAGCCGGAUUAAUACCGCAUACGACCUGAGGGUGAAAGCGGGGGAUCGCAAGACCUCGCGCUAUUGGAGCGGCCGCUAUCAGAUUAGCUAGUUGGUGGGGUAAAGGCCUACCAAGGCAACGAUCUGUAGUUGGUCUGAGGGGACGGCCAGCCACACUGGGACGGGGACGCGGCCCAGAAUGCUCCGGUAGGCAGCAGUUGGGAAUUUUGGACAAUGGGCGCAAGCCUGAUCCAGCAAUGCCGCGUGCAGGAAGAAGGCCUUCGGGUUGUGAACUGCUUUUGUCAGGGAAGAAAUCCUUUGGGCUAAUACCUCGGAGGGAUGACGGUACCUGAAGAAUAAGCACCGGCUAACUACGUGCCAGCCGCCGCCGUAA
rnacentral:rRNA from 1 species